ACUGCUCUGCAACAAUUAAAACAUCAGUGUGUUAUCAACAUUAUUCUCAUCCUAAAUCCAAAACACAGCACCAUACCAACUACUAGGAGGAAAAUUAACUCUAUCCUAGUCAAAACCAGGACAGAGUGAAAAGGGGGCAGAUGAAAGACAGAGAGG